rnacentral:rRNA from 1 species
CGUGUAGGCGGCUUGCUAAGUCUUGCGUGAAAUCUCGGGGCUCAACCCCGAGCGGUCGUGAGAAACUGGCAGGCUAGAGUGCGGGAGAGGAGAGUGGAAUUCCUGGUGUAGCGGUGAAAUGCGCAGAUAUCAGGAAGAACACCCGUGGCGAAGGCGGCUCUCUGGAACGCAACUGACGCUGAGACGCGAAAGCGUGGGAGCAAACA